rnacentral:piRNA from 1 species
UUGACGGUGCUUAUGCUUAGACAUGAAGGCA